rnacentral:lncRNA from 1 species
AAGGCAAAGCACAGUCAAGCACCAAAGCACAUGUAUGAGCCUUUGCUCCUGUAAGUGCUUUCUAGCAACCUUAACUCCUUGUUAAGAAGUUAUGCURGAUGAGACAGGCCUCCUGAGAGAGGGUAGAUAUAUUUGCAUAAGAAAUGAGUGCGGCUGAGAAUUUCUUCCAGGUUUUCUCACGCACAGCAGGACUGCGAUGGGGAAGAACGUGUCAGCGAGAUUGCAAGGCAGCCAGACUUCCUCAAAAAAAGCCCUAAGGCAAACUUUGAGGAACAACCUGGUACAUGGACGCAGGUGUUGCCAGCAUGGUUGUGGAACCACAUGGUAGAAGAGUUUUGGAAAUGAGAAGUUUGCUCAUGUCUUUACCCAGUGAGGAGUACAUGGAUACAGGAGCAAAAGAGGUCUUCUGGCUUGCGUUAAGAAAUGAGAAGUGAUCAAAUACUGGACCAGAUAAUUACCCAGGAAUGCGAGAGCCCAAGACCCGGGCCUCUGUGGUGAGCACCAUGCGACGUCCAAGUCCCAGCUCGUGGCCAGACACCUACCCGAUACCAUCCUUGGCUGCUUCGCUUCUGGGCUGCUGUUUGUCUCAGUGCUAGUGCUCCCGAAGGCCUGUUAAAUAUUUCACGCAUAUUUACUUCCUCAUUCUAAAGUUGUUGUGUCAUUGUGUUUUUUGUUUUCUUAUCAUGCUCCUUUAUGUUUU